rnacentral:lncRNA from 13 species
CUCUCUUCUAGUAAGGCUGCUCUGUACCAGAUUAACCUUUGAAUGCCCUUUGGGGUGUUAUUUUUCCAGUUGAUAAGAUCAGCUGAAGUGAACAAUAGCUCUGAGGCAUGUUCUGCACUGGCUUCAGGAGUUCCUCAGUGUCUUCAGUUCCAGCUGUCUAGAGUGCCUUGGCCUUAUGUCAUGGGUUCAACCUGGACACUGAAAACGCAAUGACCUUCCAAGAGAAUGCAGCGGGCUUUGGGCAGACCGUGGUCCAGCUUCCGGGAUCCAGGUGAGACCCUCAGGUGGAGCCCCUGUCUCAGUGAUUUCCCUCCAAGACUUACUCAUCUGAAUAAAAUUGGUGAUUUCCUUGAGAGAUUUUUUGAA